AAGGAAUAUUCGAGUCAAGAGUCCAAUGCAGCCAAGGAAGCAUUGGUUGUAAAGAGUAGGUAUAUAGAAUUUGAACAUCAAGUAUGAGCAUAUAAAAGUUGAACAUGGAACGAAGUGAGGUUUACAACCCACGGGAAACGGUAAUCUCAAAGGGACAAGUCCCAAUGGUGUGAUUGCAAGCUUUCACUACUUCGGGGCAAUCCCCAUACAGUUCACUAUCUCAGGGCAAGCCCUAUACAAGAAAACUUGCAUAAGUACUCCGGUCGUAGUUGAUGGUGUUGUAGUAGUGUACUUGGGAUAUUAUGACUGAAGCUCGCAGCGACAGUUGUAAUUGUUGGAUCAUGGGUUGUCCACUAUUUUAUAGGUUUGAUAUAUGGCUCGUGUCGCCUGUGACACUUAUAUUGUCGAGCCAUCCCUUUGUGUUGUAAUUAUUAUUCUUACAAGCUUUAAACAAAUAGAUGUCA